UACGUAGGUGGCGAGCGUUGUCCGGAUUUACUGGGCGUAAAGAGCGCGCAGGCGGUCGUUCAAGUCGGAUGUGAAAGCCCCCGGCUCAACUGGGGAGGGUCAUUCGAUACUGAUCGACUCGAAGGCAGGAGAGGGAAGCGGAAUUCCCGGUGUAGUGGUGAAAUGCGUAGAUAUCGGGAGGAACACCAGUGGCGAAGGCGGCUUCCUGGCCUGUUCUUGACGCUGAGGCGCGAUAGCUAGGGGAGCAAACGGG
rnacentral:rRNA from 1 species